GGGGCCGUAGUCUAGUUUGGUAGGAUUCAGCGUUCGGGACGCUGCGGCUUGAGUUCAAAUCUCAACGGCCCCA
rnacentral:tRNA from 1 species